UUCUUUUUGAAUGAUAAAAAGUAUCCCCUGCCCAGUGCUAUGUGUAGUAAACGGCUGCAUUAUUCUGAGUGUACAAAGGUAGCGUAAUCAUUAGCCUCUUAAUUGGUGGCAAGUAUGAAUGGGGGUUACGGUAAUUUUCUGUGUCAAAAAAAAAAAUUGAAAUUUACUUGUGUGUGAAGAGGCAGACAUAGAAAAAAAGGACGACAAGACCCUAGAAUCUUGCUUUUAAGUAAUUUAUUUUUGAAAAGUUUUAAAUAUUAUUGAGAGUUUGUUGGGGCAACAUAGAAAUUUUAUUUUCUUUAAUUUUAUUUACUGACGGGUUUUAUCCUUUUGUGAAUAUGGUUAGUUACUCUAGGGAUAACAGCGUUAUUUUUCUUUAUAGUUCUUAUAGAAAGAGAAGAUUGCGACCUCGAUGUUGGAUUAAGGUAUCCUGAAGGUGCAGAAGCCUUCAAGGGUUGGUCUGUUCGCCCAUAAAAACCCUUACA
rnacentral:rRNA from 1 species